rnacentral:rRNA from 1 species
GAUGAACGCUGGCGGCGUGCCUAAUACAUGCUAGUCGAGCGAACAGACGAGGAGCUUGCUCCUCUGACGUUAGCGGCGGACGGGUGAGUAACACGUGGAUAACCUACCUAUAAGACUGGGAUAACUUCGGGAAACCGGAGCUAAUACCGGAUAAUAUAUUGAACCGCAUGGUUCAAUAGUGAAAGACGGUUUUGCUGUCACUUAUAGAUGGAUCCGCGCCGCAUUAGCUAGUUGGUAAGGUAACGGCUUACCAAGGCAACGAUUCGUAGCCGACCUGAGAGGGUGAUCGGCCACACUGGAACUGAGACACGGUCCAGACGCCUACGGGAGGCAGCAGUUGGGAAUCUUCCGCAAUGGGCGAAAGCUUGACGGAGCAACGCCGCGUUAGUGAUGAAGGGCUUCGGAUCGUAAAACUCUGUUAUUAGGGAAGAACAAAUGUGUAAGUAACUAUGCACGUCUUGACGGUACCUAAUCAGAAAGCCACGGCUAACUACGUG